rnacentral:ncRNA from 7 species
UUUCCGUAGGUGAACCUGCGGAAGG